rnacentral:rRNA from 1 species
GGGAGCUUGCUCCGCUGACGAGUGGCGAACGGGUGAGUAAUGUAUCGGAACGUACCAUUCAGUGGGGGAUAACGUAGCGAAAGUUACGCUAAUACCGCAUAUUCUGUGAGCAGGAAAGCAGGGGAUCGCAAGACCUUGCGCUGAUUGAGCGGCCGAUAUCAGAUUAGCUAGUUGGUGAGGUAAAGGCUCACCAAGGCGACGAUCUGUAGCGGGUCUGAGAGGAUGAUCCGCCACACUGGAACUGAGACACGGUCCAGACUCCUACGGGAGGCAGCAGUGGGGAAUUUUGGACAAUGGGGGCAACCCUGAUCCAGCCAUGCCGCGUGAGUGAAGAAGGCCUUCGGGUUGUAAAGCUCUUUCGGCCGGGAAAAAAUCGCAUGGGUUAAUACCCUGUGUGGAUGAUGGUACCGGAAUAAGAAGCACCGGCUAACUACGUGCCAGCAGCCGCGGUAAUACGUAGGGUGCGAGCGUUAAUCGGAAUUACUGGGCGUAAAGCGUGCGCAGGCGGUUUGAUAAGACAGGCGUGAAAUCCCCGGGCUCAACCUGGGAACUGCGUUUGUGACUGUCUCACUAGAGUACGGCAGAGGGGGGUGGAAUUCCACGUGUAGCAGUGAAAUACGUAGAGAUGUG